AAUUUCAUUUUAAUAUAUUCAGAACACUGGAUCAAUUCUUUCAAAACAUAGUCAAACAUUUCAAUACAAAGCAUUUAUCAGAGUUCAUUCCCAAAGAUCACAUAUUUUAGAAAACACGGGUGUAUGCGUUGUGAUCAAGCCGAGCCCUUCCUUUUCGAACCGGAGAUACUUGAAACCAUAAACAAAACUGUAAGCACGAAGCUUAGUGUAACGACCCAAAAAUUCUACCGUCAAUGACGUUGGUUUUCAUUACUCGAAUAAUUAUUUUUGAGUAAACUAUUCCGGUUUUAAGGAUUAUAAAUCGAAAUAAUUUAAAUAAAAAGGGUGUUAUUUAAUACCUAAAAGAAUGAUCAGAUAUAUUUGAUGGUGUAAAUGAUGUUGAGGGAUUAAAGUGUCAAUAAAAGAAAGUUAGAUUGUCAAGUUAUUAGGGUUAGAGGCGCUUGCGAUUUAAUCAAGGAAAUGUAGGGGGUGGUUGUGAAAAAUCAUUUAUAACUCCCAAUGAGUAGACGAGAAUUGUAGGAAUCGUGCGUUUUUUACUUGUGGCCAUCGACGGAAGUUGUUAACACCCAUCCUCGUGUUAUUCUUGGGCUGCAGUGAUCGAUCAAAAAAAAAAAAAAAAAAAAAAACCCGAAUCCAAUUGCUUGGGCUAUGAAGUGCGACUAUCGGCAAUAGAGAAGGACGAGGCAAAGAAGAGCGCGAGAGAGAUUACAGGGUUCCGAUCGACUCCUAGUUUCCCUCGUGUGUGUUGUCGAUCAGCAAGGAAGGAAAAAAGAAAAAGAAAAAAGAAUCGAACGUGAGUUCAAUCGGCAGGCAAGGGGUGGAAGCACCAAAAUUGAAUCUCCAAUCGGGUGUUGGAAUCGACCUCUUAUAUUGGGGAAAGGGUGAUACUUCAAUCUUCACAAGACUUGAAGUGUGAGUUGGUAACAUAUUUGGCAAAGGUGAGCCAACUUUGUGGUUUUUAAAAGUACAUUGUUAGGAGUAUCCCAUAUCUUAGAUGGAAUGGGAUGAACCCAGUAUUCUAGGAUGUAUGUGCCCUUUUGAUGAUUGAGUAUUGUGCCAUGAUGUUGAAAUAUUUUGUGUAAUUGUAUCUAGGAUGUUGUAUGCUAGACUCCUCUUUGUUUGGUGUGAGAUGUGAGCUAGGGUCAUGCUAGAUUGAGUGAAGUGUAUGAACAUUAUGUGACGUGAGCAUGUUAAUUCUUGUUUGAAUACUAAUAUGUAUAAUAAAUUACACAAGUUAUAAAA